rnacentral:rRNA from 1 species
UCGGGAAUAUUGCGCAAUGGAGGAAACUCUGACGCAGUGACGCCGCGUGCAGGAAGAAGGUUUUCGGAUUGUAGACUGCUUUAGACAGGGACGAAACAAAUGACGGUACCUGUAGAAUAAGCUCCGGCUAACUACGUGCCAGCAGCCGCGGUAAUACGUAGGGAGCAAGCGUUAUCCGGAUUUAUUGGGUGUAAAGGGUGCGUAGACGGAUAAACAAGUUAGUUGUGAAAUACCUCGGCUUAACUGAGGAACUGCAACUAAAACUAUAUAUCUUGAGUACUGGAGGGGAAAGCGGAAUUCCUAGUGUAGCGGUGAAAUGCGUAGAUAUUAGGAAGAACACCGGUGGCGAAGGCGGCUUUCUGGACAGCAACUGACGUUGAGGCACGAAAGUGUGGGGAGCAAACAGGAUUAGAUACCCUGGUAGU